GGGCGGGCCGCACCGGGCGGCGGCGGCGGCAGGGGCCGGCAGGGGGGGGCCCGCCUCGCCUCGAGCCCUCCAUGGCGGCCGCUGCCCGCGGCCCCCUCCCCGCCGCCGGCCCCGACGAGGCGGACGAGGCCGUCCGGGGCACCUGUGAGGACGCGUCCGUCUGUAAGAGGUUUGCUGUAAGUGUUGGCUACUGGGAGGACCCCUACAUCCAGUGUUUUGUGAGACAAGCCAAAGAAAGAAAAGCACCUGAAAUCAAUAGAGGUUAUUAUGCUCGUGUUCAUGGGGUCAGUUAUCUGCUUAAGGCCUUUCUAAAGAAAACAGAAUGCAACUGUCAAAUUGUGAAUCUUGGUGCUGGCAUGGAUACCCUCUUCUGGAGAUUAAAGGAUGAAAAUCUUCUCCCUAGAAAAUAUUUUGAAGUGGAUUUCCCAAUGAUAGUUGCAAGAAAAAUACAUAAUAUCAAAUCAAAACCUCCCCUGUCAAAACCAAUUAUAGAAUCCCAUUCAGGGGACUCUCUUCUAAUAGAUUCUCACAGCCUAGACUCCAGUCGUUAUUCCAUAGUAGGAGCAGAUCUUCGUUUCUCAUCAGAUCUGGAGGAAAAGCUAAAGAAACAUAACCUGGACGUACAUUUGCCGACGCUUCUGAUAGCAGAGUGUGUGCUGGUUUACAUGACACCUCAACAAUCUGCAAAUCUCUUAAAAUGGGCAGCAAGCACUUUUCCAGUGGCGAUGUUUAUAAAUUAUGAGCAGGUGAAUAUGACGGAUCGGUUUGGACAGAUCAUGAUUGAGAACUUGCAGAGACGACAGUGUAACCUGGCUGGAGUGGAAGUCUGCAGAUCCUUAGAAGCUCAGAGGGAACGAUUGCUGUUAAAUGGCUGGGAAAAUGCACAUGCCAUUGAUAUGAUGAAAGUGUACAGCUCUUUGCCACAGGCUGACGUCAAAAGUACCCAGGAUGUUUCUUGUGAACAUCCAGCCUCCACAACACCAGAUGGGUGAGGCGGAGUCCUAGGAUACAUUCGGAACAGGCAUCCACUUUUCAUGUCCCCAAGGCGGAGAUGACAUCCAUGUGUUUGCUCCAGUCUUGUAGGCCUACAAUAGAAGAACUUGAAUUCCUAGAUGAAAAGGAACUGUUUGAACAACUAAUGCAGCACUACUGCAUCUGCUGGGCCUCAAAAGACAGCAGUAACCUGGGUCUUGCAGAUAUCGCCUUCUAAUGUACUUGCUCGAAGGAAGCCAUGGGCCCAGAAGCCACAGCUACUGCCUUCUGCUUGAGACAAGAUCACAGAAAUGAUGGGACUCUGCAUGUGCCAAGUCCAGUCUGCUCAUCUGUGUAAGCAGUGCCAGUAAAGAAAACGACUGGUGCUGCUCAUGUUGACUCUCCUGUUGGCUUUUGGUAGUUUUAACAAUUUUUUUUGGCCCAUUGUGAGCAAUUGUUAUGAGGCAAGACUCACUUCCCAUUCCUGGAUAUCUCUAAAUGACAGACUUUUCUAUGUCAGUAAUUCCUGUUUAAAAGCUCACCUUCCUUAGUUUAAAACUGAAAGUAAAGUGUUCUUGGAUUACAUUAUUCCCCUCUUUCACCUUUUUGUGGAUGUGUAAAUUGUAUUUGUGACAGGAAGCUGAAAAAAAUAAAGUUGGUGAGCUGCAUUACUGGAUACCUCUUUGCACUGUGCACGGCUGAUAAUGAAAGUUAAUUUUUGUUCAUUUUCAUUCUGUUCAGGUGUAACUUUUAUGAAGUGUUACCCUAUUAGCUUUCUCCAGGCUUUUAUUGUUGCUACAAGGCUGUCAUUAUAUUUGGUCCCUUUUUGUAGGGGAAAGGAGAAAGAAGAAGAAAAGGGACCAUGCUUCUUGUUCAGUGAUGUACAAGAAACUGGUAAAGCAGACUUUAUUUAACGGGGUAAGACUUAGCUUGUCAGGUCAGCAUGGGAAUUGUAAUGGUAAGAAAGAAAUUAAUCUACAUUUGAACUGCUUCUGGCAGUAUCUUUACACCAGUGUCUCAUUCUUCUUUCUUUCCCCUUAAAAGAAAAUUCCAGCAGCAACAGAACAAACAAACCUGCCCUAUUGUUUGGAAUUGAAUCUUGCAACCUUCUGAUGAGAAAAAUAAUAAAUGUUUAAUAUUUA